rnacentral:rRNA from 1 species
CAUCGGGAGGGAAGCUUGCUUUCCUUGCCGGCGACCGGCGCACGGGUGAGUAACACGUAUGCAACCUGCCCUCUUCAGGGGGACAACCUUCCGAAAGGGAGGCUAAUCCCACGUAUAUCGGUUUCGGGCAUCCGAGAUCGAGGAAAGAUUCAUCGGAAGAGGAUGGGCAUGCGGCGCAUUAGCUUGACGGCGGGGUAACGGCCCACCGUGGCGACGAUGCGUAGGGGCUCUGAGAGGAAGGUCCCCCACACUGGUACUGAGACACGGACCAGACUCCUACGGGAGGCAGCAGUGAGGAAUAUUGGUCAAUGGGAGAGACCCUGAACCAGCCAAGCCGCGUGAGGGAAGACGGCCCUAUGGGUUGUAAACCUCUUUUGUCGGAGAACAAAACCCGGGACGUGUCCCGGACUGCGUGUAUCCGAAGAAAAAGCAUCGGCUAACUCCGUGCCAGCAGCCGCGGUAAUACGGAGGAUGCGAGCGUUAUCCGGAUUUAUUGGGUUUAAAGGGUGCGUAGGCGGUCCGUUAAGUCAGCGGUAAAAUUGCGGGGCUCAACCCCGUCGAGCCGUUGAAACUGGCAGACUUGAGUUGGCGAGAAGUACGCGGAAUGCGCGGUGUAGCGGUGAAAUGCAUAGAUAUUGCGCAGAACUCCGAUUGCGAAGGCAGCGUACCGGCGCCAGACUGACGCUGAGGCACGAAAGCGUGGGGAUCGAACAGGAUUAGAUACCCUGGUAGUCCACGCAGUAAACGAUGAAUGCUGGUUGUCCGGGUCGAAUGAGAUCUGGGCGGCGAAGCG